CCAGGCCGGAGGUCCGCGCCCGGCAGAAGGCAAGCCGCAUCUUCCAUCCCAGCCCCAUCCUCCUCGCCCUGCUGUUGCUGCAGCUCGUCCGAUUUGCACCUCUUCAUGGUGUCUCAUAAGAACUUAGGCUCUACGUUCAGAAACUAGGUGCACAGAAACAUGGGAGAGUCCCCUGCUCCCUGAAAGCAGCUUUUAAACAAGAAUGGGUUAUUGUUGCUGUGAAGGGGCUGUGAUGUGUAUGCUCACAUUGCUUUUGUGAAGAACCAAGUGGACAGUGCCUAUGAAACGCCCAUGCUGAACACAAGGCUGACGUCAGUAAACCCAAAUGAAGUGGGAUUCAUCGUCUUUAUUUGGAAAGCUGGAUGUUCCUCAGUAACGGGAGAAGACUCAUGAUCAUCACAUGACCAGAGAAGGUCUGUGAAGCAUAAACCUCGUUGAACUGCUCCGUGAAAGCUGGGAUGGUGUACUAGCAAGAGCUGGAAUCUCACUUGAACGCAACCACAGUGCUGGACAUUUUGCUGGAAAUGCUGUGAACAUUUUCUUAUUUAAUCCUCCCAGCAGCCCUGAGAGAAUUGGAAUUUCUGGAGAUGGAACUGAAAAUCUGCUUUUUGGAGAAGUGACCCAGAUGAUUUUCAUCCUGAAGUUUGAGAAGCAUAAGGAUCCUGAAAGUCUAGCUCUGCCAGGACUUCCUUUCCUUGGUAUAGUUUAUCUCAACCCCUUGGGACCCAGUUUGGAAUGGCAAACCAUGCGCUGAAGUCUAGCCUUUAUUUCUAACAGAUGGCACACUUUGUUUCUGAUAUACAAGUGGAGAGAUACUAUCUGAUUCAAGAAGAAAAUGUAGGUUUCUUGAAAAGAAAAAAAAUAAACAAAAAACUAAAUGAGUAA